GAGGAAAAUAGAAGAGAAAGAGAAAGAGUACAACAGCUUGAGACAGAUAUUACUAAUAGAAGAAUUGCUCUUGAUCAGCAGCAUGCAACAAUGCUAGCUAAUGAGGCUUUUUCAAGGGCACAUCCAACAAUAAUCUUGCCACCACCACGUCCGCCUCCAUCUAACUGUGUGAUUCUUUGACAUUGUUAUAUUUUAGUUGAUUGCAAUUAUUAUUAUAAUAGCUGUUAGUGUAUUUUUUGUAGCUAAACUAGCUAUAGCUAUUGACAUCUAGCAGUACUUUUAUGUUAUAGCAGCUGUCGUAUUGUUUUUGUCAUUUAAUUUUGUGUAUGAUUUGUUUAUACCAUU